rnacentral:rRNA from 1 species
UACGAAGGGGGGCUAGCGUUGCUCGGAAUCACUGGGCGUAAAGGGUGCGUAGGCGGGUCUUUAAGUCAGGGGUGAAAUCCUGGAGCUCAACUCCAGAACUGCCUUUGAUACUGAGGAUCUUGAGUUCGGGGAGAGGUGAGUGGAACUGCGAGUGUAGAGGUGAAAUUCGUAGAUAUUCGCAAGAACACCAGUGGCGAAGGCGGCCAACUGGUCCGGUACUGACGCUGAGGUGCGAAAGCGUGGGGAGCAAACAGG